rnacentral:rRNA from 1 species
UAUGAACGCUAGCGGCAGGCCUAACACAUGCAAGUCGAGGGGUAGCGGCAGCCUGCUUCCUUGAGACCGGCGCACGCGUGCGUAACGCGUAUGCAAUCUACCUUGUACACAGGGAUAGCCCAGAGAAAUAUGGAUUAAUACCUCAUCGUAUUAUUGAAUGGCAUCAUUUACUAAUUAAAGUUCCAACGGUACAAGAUGAGCAUGCGUCCUAUUAGCUAGUUGGUGUGGUAACGGCAUACCAAGGCUACGAUAGGUAGGGGUCCUGAGAGGGAGAUCCCCCACACUGGUACUGAGACACGGACCAGACUCCUACGGGAGGCAGCAGUGAGGAAUAUUGGACAAUGGGCGCAAGCCUGAUCCAGCCAUGCCGCGUGCAGGAAGACGCAUCUAUGGUGUGUAAACUGCUUUUGUACGGGAAGAAACACUCCCUCGUGAGGGAGCUUGACGGUACCUACAGAAGAAGCCCCGGCUAACUUCGUGCCAGCCGCCGCAGUAAUAC